UGCUAUUGGGAUUCGACUAAGCCAUGCGAGUCGUGAGGGUUCGGCCCUCGGCGAACGGCUCAGUAACACGUAGAUAAUUUGCCCUUAGGUGGAGGAUACCCUCGGGAAACUGAGAAUAAUACUCCAUAGAUUUAGAAUGCUGGAAUGCUUUUAAAUUGAAAGAUUUAUCGCCUAAGGAUAAGUCUGCGGACUAUCAGGUCGUAGUUAGGGUAAAUACCUGACUAGCCUACGACGGAUACGGGUUGUGAGAGCACUAGCCCGGAGAUGAUAUCUGAGACACGAUAUCAGGCCCUACGGGGCGCAGCAGGCGCGAAAACUUCGCACUGUGCGAAAGCACGACGAGGGAAUCCCAAGUGCUGGCUCGUAAGAGUCAGCUGUUUCUUUGUCUAAAAAACAGAGAGAGUAAGAGCUGGGUAAGACGGGUGCCAGCCGCCGCGGUAAUACCUGCAGCUCAAGUGGUGGCCGCUAUUAUUGGGCCUAAAACGUCCGUAGCCGGUUCUAUAAAUGCCUGGGUAAAUCGUACGGCUUAACCGUACGAAUUCCGGGUAGACUGUUCAACUUGGGACCGGGAGAGGCUAGAGGUACUCCUGGGGUAGAGGUGAAAUUCUGUAAUCCUAGGGGGACCACCAGUGGCGAAGGCGUCUAGCUAGAACGGGUCUGACGGUGAGGGACGAA
rnacentral:rRNA from 1 species